CUGUCCAAAGCCCAACCCCCGACCACCCCAGGACACAGCUGCCUGGCCAGAUCCCCUCCUGCCUGCAGGUGGCCUCCACAAUCCUCAGGGUCGGUGGGCAGCUUCCCACCUCUUUUCCAUCUGGAUGUGACACCCUCCAGGUCCCUGGUCUUCCAUGAGUUGCUGUUAGGUGUGCUGUUAGGUGGGUGGGGUGGUUCUAGAUAUGGCUUCUAAUUUCAAGCAGGGUCUAUGUUCAGAUCUCCUAAAUAAGUUCAAAUCUCGAUUCUGUUUGGAUUAGAGAAGGAAGCACAUGAAAAUGUGAGCAAGGAAGCCAACAAUAACCCAUCAUUUAAAUCCUGCUUCUCACACUUUGUCUUGGAAACAAAAGUGAUCCAAGGAAUUCAUGCCCAGUCUCCACCCAACAGAACCCUGCUGAGGCAUCGAUGGUCUUGCAGAUCCUCUCCAGCAGGGCCUUUCAGGCUAGUGUGGUUCCUCCACCAGAAAUGUGAAAUCUUCUGUCACCAUAUACAUUUGGGAAAUGCCAGGAGCAUCUCCUCGGGAUUCAGCCCCAAAAUGGAUGGGCAUGCACACUGGGCAGGACCCAGCAGCGGAAGCUGAGUGCCAAUAUGCCACGCUGCCCACGGUCUGCCUGUCCACCUCUGGCAAUGUUAUGUUAGAAGUAAAGAGACAUCCACCUUCAUUAAGCCACUGCAUUUCAGGUCUCUUUAUUAUGGCAGCAAAUCAUGGCCCCAAAGGAUGCACUGUGAUUGGACAUUCACCUGUGGCUCUAACACAGCGACACCUCUGCUGGUUCUGCCUGCUCAGCCCCAUCCUUCCACCAAGGUGUUGUUCCCACCCAGCCCCGAGGUUCUGUGAGGUGAUGCACACACCCUUCCCAGGCACAGGCAGGUGGCCCAGGUCUGAGUGGUCAUGGCUCCCCAUCCUGUUCAGGGUUAUAAGUUCACGGGUUGGACAUGAGUCCAACUGUAGUCCUCCCAUUAGACUCCCAGUAUGGUGAGAGAGAGUCUUUGUAAUUAUUGUGCAUUGUGGCGGGAGAGGGAAACCAACCCCAAGCAGAACCAGAGGCGAUCAGAGAGAGGGGAGGAGGAAGCUCGACAAUGGCGUCUCAGCCCCUGGGUCUAGCUGUACCCGCAGCACCUUUAGAUGUAAGUGAUCCACGAUUGUGAGCUGAAUUUCUGUCACUUGCAACCCAGAGUCCCAUCUCUUUCCCCAAGAAUAAAAUAAACAUGUUUGGGAGUGAUUUUAUAUAA